GGGAACAGUUCCCUGCUUUCACCGAAAACAAGACACUGGGGAACAAAGUUCAGAUGGAUGGACAGGACUUUAAUUAAUACGGUUAUAUGACUAGUUGAACUAGUUGAAAAAACAAUACAGCCAUUGCAUGAGUUCAUUAGCUUAUUAAGAAUCCUUAUUUUUUUUUAUUUUUAUUUUUAAUAGUUGAAUCAGAUUGCAAAUAAUAUAUAUUCCUAGUUAGUACAUGGCUUGUUUCUAGACCCUGGCCCUGUGUUUAAAACAUUGUUCAUUGCU